CCAGUGCAGAUAUUUAGGUGGACCAGAAGGCCCUCUUUUGCUAACCUGGCAAGCUUCUUCAGCCUGACUGUGCCUGGAUUUUCUCAGCUAUAGAAUACUGUGCCUGUCUCAUGAGCUGUGGAGAAGUGAGAGGCAUCAACACACACAGCCUGUAUCUGCUGCUACCAACUCCACUCGGUGGUCUGACAUCUUCUGAAUGUUCCUUUUAUUUUGCCUCAAAGGAGGAGGAGGACCAGGACAUCCCUGCAGAGGAGCUGGCUCUGGGAGGUGGAAAGGUCUAGGGCAAAGAUUGCCAGAUGGCCUCUACCUCGAGCCCUUGGGGACACUUCGUCUUCAGCUGUGCUGUUAAAGUCAUGGGACAUGAAUACCUGCAGCCUGUGGGACUCGCCAUCCUCUUUAUUGUUCUUAUGUCCCUACUGCUUGUACCAGGAUUGCAGACUCUCUCCUCUGUUGCAAGCUGCAAGUUCAAGGGACUGACUUGUUCUGAUCAUUGGAGGGUACACAGGGCUACUCCAGAAGCAAGUCAGCUGAGAUGACAAGAGGGUCCAGGGGGCUGUGCCGUGCCUGUCAGGAACCAGAGACUGCAUUGCUCAUUGAUGCAUUUAAGAACACUUAGGGAAGGAAUUGGGCAUCAGGUCCUGGGCUUGGGCACACAGACAAGGAGCACAUAGUAAGUGGAAAAGAGGCAUACAUGCUGCCCAGAACUUUAAAAAUCUGGCUUCUUUCAAAAAGUUCUAAAAUCUGUCCCCACUGUGGUCACCAUUUUCACUUCCACCCUUGCAAGUGGCUCCCUGUCAGCCAAGCACAGACCCUGUGGUCUGCCUCUGUCCCCACCUGUCUCCAGUUGGCCAGCUUCUCUCCUCCUUGGGACUUGCCUGAUCCCUGUGGGGGUCUGAGGUCCUCCUCAAUCCUACUGGAUGACGCUGCUGGGCACCAUCAGCCAGAAUGAAAGAGUGAUGGAACUUGGUGAAAAUCAGAGCAAAUCGGAGAUCUAGGCAUUAAGAAACCAUUUCCUGCUGUCAGAAUUGUGAAAGCUUAUGACAUACAACCAAAGGAAAAUUACUGAGGCCUCCUUCCCUAAAGAAUCCUCAGCAAAAGGGCCCAGCUGUCUGACGUGAUCACAGGGAAGCUGUGCCUCAAGGCAAGAAUUAUUUCUCCCAGUUCCUUCCAGCCAUAAGAUUCUAUGAGAAAUGUUGAGCUGCACAAAUGAGGGUUUACGUGGUUUUUUCUAAAAGUGCGUUGUUAAAUAACCCCUGCCCCCUGGCUUCCUCCACAUUCUUCUCCUUUGUGCUUAGCUAAGAAAAUGACUUGAUGGAUUUUUUUUUUAUAUAUAUAAAAUACAGUCAGUGUUGUGCUGUGAGGUGGAAGAGAGUACUACAGGACAAAAAUGGGUCAGGGGACAGUGUUGUGUCUGUGAUAGACAGAGAAGCUGGCAUCUUCAGAAGUAAAUCUCUCCCUUGACAAAGCAUUGUGUUUUAGUGCUUGCAGACUCUGUGUAUUCAUUGAAAAAAUAUUGUUUAAUAAAUUUAAGGAUGCAAUAUUACCUAGCCACCAACUCAUUUAAGAUAGGACCGUAAUAGGUUUCAUGUGAGAGCUGGGCAGUAUCUUGGUGGAACAGGGGGGGCUGGGUAUGAGUUAUAUAAGGGGUUCCUAGGGG
rnacentral:lncRNA from 1 species